rnacentral:tRNA from 1 species
GCCUGGCUGGCUCAGUGGGUAGAGCAUGUGACUCUUGAUCUUGGGAUCGUGAGUUCAAGCCCCACAAUAGGUA